UACGGAGGGUGCAAGCGUUAUCCGGAUUCACUGGGUUUAAAGGGUGCGUAGGUGGGUUGGUAAGUCAGUGGUGAAAUCUCCGAGCUUAACUCGGAAACUGCCAUUGAUACUAUCAAUCUUGAAUCAUCUGGAGGAAGCGGAAUAUGUCAUGUAGCGGUGAAAUGCUUAGAUAUGAACAUAGAACACCAAUUGCGAAGGCAGCUUACUACGGGUGCAUUGACACUGAGGCACGAAAGCGUGGGGAUCAAACAGG
rnacentral:rRNA from 1 species